ACCAAGCUAAUAAACCUAUUACAUUCACUAACUAAAACAAAAGGGGGAAGAGGGAGAAUGGACCAAAUUGCUCGCCAAAGCCCUAUCUAUUACAAGCCAAGAGGUGUACACAUACCUCAUUAAAAGAAUAACUUAAGUAAAUGAAAUAAAUGAAAGGAAAUAAGGAGAGGCUAGGAAAGCAAGUAGACAUGCAAAUUUCAAUUAGCACAUUAGUCCACAUAGGAGAGAAACAAAAAGGGUAAAAGAGAUUAUACCGCCCUUGAAAUGAAGCUCUAAUGGAGUGAAAUCAACUUAUUUAUCCUCCAAAAUAAAAGAAAUGGUCAAGGUACCAAUUUAUUUGGCAAAUAAUCACA
rnacentral:lncRNA from 1 species